rnacentral:lncRNA from 1 species
CUAGACCUUACAAAAAGGAGAGAAGCUUCUCCUUAGGGAGCUCCCCUCUUCUUCCUCUUCAUUUUUUUCCUAAAAAAGAAAUGUUACGUGAAGAAAACAGCAAAAAGACCUUCCCCCAUCUGAAAACAAAAGGUGCCAUUCCAACCCUUGUCUUCUUCUUCUCAUUUUUGUAACCUAGAAACACAUAUCAGACCCCAUUUUUACAUAAUCAAAUAUGGCGCCUCUCGAAAAACUCUGCCUCUGUCAAAGGCUGUUAGAUCUGAAAAAAAGAAAAAAAGAAAAAAAUUGGUUGGCUUGCUGUUUUUCUGAGAUUUUAAGAGUGUUUAAACUCUCCAAAAUUGUUGACUGGUUAUUGAAUAUGUGGCUGCUUUUGCUGGGUUUUAUCAUCUUCAUUACUGCUCAAAUUUGGCAGAUUCGUUUCUGAUUCAGGCAUGCACUUAUUACCGCUUAGUUUUUUUUAUGGCUCUUCGCUGUUUCUGCAAACCAUGCCAAUUUUUAAAAUAAAGUUUCUAAGCGUUUAUUGUUUUAAAUAUGAUGUCAAGACCUUAAAGUAUAUUCGGAUGUGAUUUAGCUGCUUGAAGAGCAUUUCAUUCAUUUAAUGAUAUUAUCUGCUAGUUGUGGCUCUCAUCAAAGACACAUUGUCAUUGUAGAACUGCUACUGAAACUGAACGGGAAGAUCUGCAUUAGGUUUUUACACAACUUGUUUACUCUUGGUCAUGUGGAUUUUGAUAUGCAGUACAAGAUCUUAGCAACUAGAAGUUAUUAAUUGAU